UUCCACACGAAGUCCAGCAUUAGGCAAUCUUGUCUAUGCACACCGGCCGCGCGAGCGCAACCACCUACCUCACCUUGAGGUACUACUAGGCCCACGUGCUCAAACUUGGCCACUAAUCGACCGUUCUCUCAACAGUGAUGCUACUUUCACUGUUCGAUCUAUCGGAAUGACAUCCGAAAUUUUCGGACCACUCGGGUGUUCUCAUAAGCAUCAUGACUCAACUCUCGCAAUUUACUACUCAUAUCGCUCUGAGAUUCGUUUCGCCACUUCUAUCUCUACCGCGAGUCUCACUUCUCGCCAUAGAUUACUUCUAGCACUUCGCUAGUGCCAUCUGGCUCUAUACCUCUACUGGCAGGUACUAUGCCCUCAGAUAACACAAAACUCCAUUUCUAGAGCAAUCAAACCUAUCUCUAGAAAUCCACCAUGAGAGAGAGCUUAGAAGCUUACCUCUCCGAGAAGCUCCGACCAAGGAGAAGAUGAAGAAGAUGAGGAAGACCUUCUUCUCCUUCUCUUUCUUUCCUUUCCUUUCUUCUUCCUCUUCUUGUCUUCUAGAGAGAGAAAGAGAGAUAUGAGAGGGUGUGUGGGUGAGAAAUGAGAGAAAAGAGCUCUCAUACCCCUCACAUAGCCCCACAUGUUGCAUAAGUGCAAAUAAGCCCCUCAACUU
rnacentral:lncRNA from 1 species